rnacentral:rRNA from 1 species
CGGUACGGGCCGUGAGAGCGGUAGCCCGGAGAUGGACACUGAGACAAGGGCCCAGGCCCUACGGGGCGCAGCAGGGGCGAAACCUCCACAAUGCACGAAAGUGUGAUGGGGUUACCUCGAGUGCCGUCUGAAAAAGGCGGCUUUUCCAUGGUGUAAUGCGCCGUGGGAAUAAGGGGGGGGCAAGACUGGUGUCAGCCGCCGCGGUAACACCAGCCCCCCGAGUGGUGGGGACGUUUACUUGGCCUAAAGCGUCCGUAGCCGGCUCGGUAAAUCUCUCGUUAAAUCCGGCGUCCCAAGCGUCGGCAUGCGAGAUAGACUCCCGGGCUAGAGGGUGGGAGAGGUCGGCGGUAUUCCCGGGGUAGGGGCGAAAUCCAUUGAUCCCGGGAGGACCACCAGUGGCGAAGGCUGCCGACUAGAACACGCCUGACGGUGAGGGACGAAAGCUGGGGUAGCGAAUCGGAUUAGAUACCCGAGUAGUCCCAGCCGUAAACGAUGCAGGCUAGGUGUUGGGUCGGCCAUGCGCCGACCCAGUGCCACA